AGGGCCCCGGAAGUUUAAAACCGGACAUUGCAACACACCACAACACUCUUUCUCAUUUUUAUUGUUGCCUUUUCUUUCCAGUGACAAGCUGUUUCCUGCAUUUGGGUUUGGAGCUCGGGUUCCUCCUAGCUGGCAGGUGGGGCGUUCACCAUGCUGGGCCCUUGCUCUGUCCAUGUCUGCAUUCCCUAACUGUUUGUAAUGUCCCACUUCCCAAGGUAUCUCAUGAGUUUGCUUUGAACUUCAACCCCAGCAACCCUUAUUGCCAAGAUGAGAACACCUUUUUAUUAAUAAUGCCACUGAGUGGGGGAGAUGUUUGAAGUGCUGUGUUUAUUUCACAACUGGUAGAAAUCAAACGCAGCACCAAGACAUGGGGCAAAUAUAGCUUUACUCUCACCCUGAUGCUGACAAAAGCAGAUGUGUGUUGAUGCAGGCAAGCUCCAUAACCUUCAGUGAAAGGGUCUAGAUUUAAUUGAUUGUCAGUCGGUACUGAAAUUUUUGUUGCUUCAAAGUGGUUACUUCUGCUGGGUUACAGGUGCCAGUGGAUUCAGCUCAGCCCUUUGCCUGUGCUUGUUAAGAUUCCAGAGCCACCAUCUGCUGAGGCUGUUAGAAACCAGGAUUUACCCACCAGCAAUGUGGAUAUGUUUGACCACUCUCUUUUCAAGUUUGUCUUAAAAGCUUGCUUUUCUUCAUAGCCAUCUUCUUCAGAGGAGGUGGUUUCAGGUUAUAUUUGGUUUGUAUGGCAAUGUUUUGGUAGUGGGAGCUACAGGGGCGGUUUCUCUGACAAGCUGCCAGAGUCUUCCCUGGUAUCUAAUGGAGCUGAUGCCAGCCAGCUCCAAGAUAGACUCAUCACUGGCAAAGACCAAGUCUAUCAGUGAUGGUGGGAUAACAGAUUUAAGAAGGAGGAAAAAAACCUUGUGUGACAGCACUCAGAGGGAAGGAGUGAGAAUAUAUUAGAGGAUCAGUACUAGAGACACCAAGGCUGGUAAAUAAGAAGGAGGAGAAAGUGUUCCAAGCACUCAAGCAGAGAUUCCCUUGCAGGCUCUGGUGAAGACUAUGGUGAGACAGCUGUGCCUCUGUAGCCCAUGGAGUCCAUGGGGGAAGAAACACCCACCACCAGCCCAUGGAUGCCCUUCCCUGGAGUAGCCUGUUCCUGACUGAAUGCAUCUUGUUGGAGGGACCUACACAAGAUCUGCAGCUUGUGGGGAGGACUCGUAUGGGAGAAGUUUAUUGAGGAUUGUUUCCUGUGGAAGUGACCCUUUGCUGGAGCAGGGGAGGAGUGAGGAGAGACUUUCCUCUGAAGAAGGAGCAGCAAAGAUGAUAUGUGAACUGACCACAGACCCCAUUUGCUGUACCCCACUGAGGGGGGAGGAGAGAGAGAAUUUGGGAGUGAAUUUGAGCAUCAGAAGAGGGGAGCUUUCCGUCCUCGUGUUGUGGGGAUCCAAGGAAUAGCGGAUGCCCUACCACCAAAUUCUGCCGCAGAUCCAACUCUACAGGCCAACCAACUUCUCUCCUAUUAUAAACCACGUGGCAAGGUUUGCAGCACACUUGCUGCAACAAGGAACUGCUGCAGUAAGUGCAAGGUCUUCAUUGUGGAUAUGCUUUGGGUUGAUGUUUCUGUUUUCCAUGUUGAUGGUUGAAUAGAAUGGAAUAGUAAAUUGAUGUUAACUUCCUUCCCUUGAAUUCCAAGUUUGGUCUUCUGUUGUCAGCCUACAGAGAGCAUGUCGAUGCUCUCUCUUGGUACAUACUCAUAUGAACCUAUACUGAGUAGACACAUUAAUUUCAUUGCUCAAGUGAUAUUUAUUUCUCUCCCAGUUUGCUGGCACUGUACUUACUGUUGCGUUGUACAGGGGUGCUGUGUUGGCUGUUCAGCCAGUUGGACUGAGGCAGCAGUUGCCUUGCUCUAAUCUCUCUUACCAAGCUCUGUUACCUGUAGGGCAUGCACAUAGAAUAGAGAUUUGUGCUGAACAAUUUUGCUCUCAAGAAUGUUGAGAAAAAACCUCUAAGUAGCUACCAGAGGGCUUGACUGUCUGUCCCACCAUAGUGGCAUGGAGUCUGAGAACUGUUCAAUCAGUGUGCUGAUUGCAGGGCAUCUGUGCUUCUCUAUGGUCAUGGGCUCAUUUGUGUGCUGCUCUGGCCAUGUUUGCUGUUAAAAUUUUACUUCGUUUUUUUAAAACUUAAUUUGUUUUGCUUAAGAAUGAAGGACUUGGAUGUACUGAUAGAUUUUAGCUGAUUUCAUUCUGACAGACCAAUCAGAAAAUUUUGACAUAUACUGUGCUACUUGUUUUAUCACCAAGCUCUGUCAGUAUUUUGGUGCUCCUUAAUGUUUGUAUGUAUAUCAAAUAUAUUUCCCAUGCUGUGAGGCACUUGGGCUAAGGAGACCCAUUUCUUGCAUUUCUGAGGGUAUUUUUUAACUUUGCGGAAAUAUUCCUCAUUCUUGUAAUGUGUUAAAUAUCUCUACUUUUUCUUUCAGAUUUAAACCUAACUAUUUAAAUAAAGAAUCAGCAUUUGGGUACAGCAAUUUGUGUUAACUGUGCUUUGGAAUUGGAAAUUCAGUUUUCUCUUAUUUUCAUUGUGUUUGCCUCCUUUUAAGUCUGUAAAUAGCUGCUAUAAAACAGCAGUUGCUCAUUUCAAAACCAGGUACUAAUCUUCAGCUUCUGAAAAAUUAUAGAAAUUUUAAACACUUUACCACACUAAGACAUUGGUUUGAGGUACUCCUUUCUUUCUGGAAAAGCCCUUGUUCCCUUCAUGUUACCUCUAGAACCUCUCAUGUUAUUUAUCACUGCUGUGUUUUGGAUAUCUAAUACUUCUAAUGCUUCUAAUUAGACACACCUGAAUUAAAUUAUCGAUAAAAAAAGAACCAAGGCUUUUUGAGUUAUACCACAGGGAUAUUAAAUAUCUCUAGCUUUUCUGAACGCCAGUCAGUAAAACAGCACCUAUCAGUGAAUUUCCUAUGCAGCUGUGUUUAUUUACUAGUACAUUUUGUCUAGUACUUUUUGUCUCUAGUACUUUUUGCCUAUUGAUGUAACUGUUCUUUAUAAAUUGAACUUAAUACUUUCUCUUUUUUCUAGUACAGAGAAUAUUGGAAGUGCACAGUGAAAAUCAUUAGGCAUAGGAAAAAUGCGAAUUAACAUAAGUUUCUUUAAUGUUCUGGUUUUGUCUCAUGCACAGCAACAUUUGAUUUCUUUCUUAGCAUAAGGGAGUGCUCUAUCUGCCUUCAGUUAUGUGAGCUCUGGUGUUGAAAUACCUAACGGUAUGCUUUCUCAUGUUUUUCAGCAAUAUUUUAUCUUGCUGAUCAUCACAGCUGGAGAGAUCACUGAUCUAGACCAAACUAGGCAAGCCAUUGUUAAUGCCUCUAAUCUGCCCAUGUCCAUUAUCAUUGUUGGUGUUGGUGAAGCCAGUUUUAAAGCAAUGGAGUUCCUUGAUGGAGACAGCGGUGUUCUGAAAUCUGUGACAGGAGAGCCAGCUGCACAACACAGCUCUUGCAGCUCCUGUUGUGUUGACGCUGCAAUGAGCAAAUCAUCCAUGUAAUGAAUGAUCUUCACCUUUGGAAAUUUCUUCCGUGCUGGUGCCAAAGCUCGUGCCACGUCCCAUUGACAGAUUGUCGGAGAAUUUUUUAGUCCCUGUGGAAGGACGACCCAAUGGUACUGCUGCAGAGGUGUUUCCUUGUUGAUACUCGGAACUGAAAAGGCAAAUCUCGGAGCAUCAUCUGGAUGGAGCAGAAUACUGGAGAAACAAUCCUUGAGGUCAAUGACCACAAGCGGCCAGUCUCUGGGAAUCAUCGAGGCAGGUGGAAGUCCCAGCUGAAGUGGUCCCAUGUCUUCUAUGACUUCAUUGAUCUUCCUGAGAUCAUGUAACAAUCUCCAUUUGCCUGAUAGCUUUUUCUUGAUGACAAACACUGGAGAGUUCUAAGGGCUGUCUGUUGGCCUGAUGUGUCCCUUCUGCAACUGUUCUUGGACCAGGUUUUUCAAAGCACUCAACUUUUUCUGUUCAAGGGGCCACUGAUCCACCCAAACUGGACUGUCUGUUCUCCAUGUCAACUUCAAUGUGGCGAGUGCCGCAGUGACCCCUAUUAAAAAUCCACUUUGAUCUUCGCGCCCCAUUGUGCCAAAAGGUCUCGACCCCAGACUGUGAUUGGCUUUUGGACGACAAAAGGACGAAUGAUCGCCGUCUUGUCUCCUGGUCCCGUGACAACCACGGAAUUCUCACUUUGCAGACACAGAGAUACUCCCCCUAUGCCUGAGAGAGAACCCAAGGGCGCGACCAAGCUCCAAUUGCGUGGCCAAAAGAUGCUUCCCAGGAAGCACUUUCCCAGAUAGUUCUGGCUGAAGUGCCCAAGCAGCUAGUGUCAUAAUAUGAAUGGCCGGGAUGGCCUCCCCUGAAACUGCCAGAAGUCAAAGUGGUGUAGAUUCAGCUAGCCCUGGCUACCUGUAGCACUGGGGUGAAGGAGAGCCGCCUGCAGCCACACUCUCUCUUGCACACUGUGGAUGCUCAGUGCCUUGAGAUUGCACCAGUCACACCACUUCUUUCACUUGUUUGCACUGAGUCUUUGAUCUUUCAAAGAUUUCUAUUGAAAGAAAUGUAAAUACAGAAAAACCUCCAAGUGCUGGAAGUUUUUGUCACAGAAAGGUUGACCUUGUUUGUUUUCCACCUUGCAACAGCAACACUUUGUGAUACAUCACACUGCACAUAGUUGCUUGACACAGCCCAUCUGCUGCUCACUAUGAGGGUAGGCCUCUGAACUGAGCUGCUCUAGUGCUGACCUUGGUGAUAGAAGUGUUGCACCUGUGUUUGCUGUAAUGACACUUACCAUGUGCUACUGGAUAGGUGUCUUUUAUCAAGCUGCUUUCAAAUGGAUGUGACCAAAGACUGUUGGUUGGAUGCCUGAGGUAGUUCCUGUUGUCUUCAUAAAGUGCCAGUAUAUUUUUUUUGUGUUUCAGUGACCAUACCUUUUUGACCAUACCUUUCUUUUUAAUCACAUUUUUCUAUUAGCAAAAUUUCUUUCUGUGAUGAACUCCUGCUUGAAGCCAUUGUUAUAGUUCAAGAACACUGCACUUGGCUUAUUUAUGUGGGUUAAAUGAGAAUUAAUCAUUAAUUAAUGGAAUUGGGGUGAGAUUAAUGAGUCAUAUUAAUGUGACUUUAAAAAUCCUGCAGAUGGAAACACUGAAAUGAAGAUGCUUUGAGUGAAUUCUUUAUAUCACACAAGUUACAAAGUGAAGAAGUAACUUUUCUGUGGAAGUCCAAGGAGGUGCCACCUCGGUAGUGUGAAGUGUGCAUUACAUGAUCUGGGGACUGUAGAACAGGCAUAUGAUAGCAAAGCACAAAUGUUUUGAGGAAGUUGGUUUAUUUCAAAGUAGAGAAAAAAAUCUUGGGGUUGUCAUUGCAUGAAACUACAAGUUUCAACACUUUCAGUUAUAUAAAUAAAUACCAUACUUUGACUUAGAUAACA